rnacentral:lncRNA from 1 species
CUAGUAUUUAGGUACUAGUGCAGCCUAGGCCCCUUUUCUCAGGGAUAGCCUAACAUCUGACCGCACCCUCUUUGCUUUUUAAAAAAUGCCUUUUCACUCUUUAAGAUAAAUCCUCUAUUAUACAAUCUGCCACUAAUUGUGUGUUAAGACUGUUUUUCUCUCGAAAGCUGAUGCAUCCUGCUCUCAACGUGGUUUAGAAAGUGGGCUGUUACAGUGCUGGAUUAAUAAAAGGGGCCUUUAUGGUUUGUGAAAGAAUAUCUCUGUGCUUAGGCAGGAAACUUUUUGAUCCACAGAAAAGCCAGACGACAUCUAGAGCAAGAGAAACCAACUUGAGGAGCAUGCAUAUUGUGAUACCCUCAGUGGUUUCUUUUACAAUGUGUUCUGCUCCAGCUAGUGAAUUUUGUUUAACUGACCAGUGAAAGAAAAGCACAAGUUUGUUCAUAUUUUCCAUGAUGAAAAUCAGGCCAAAUUAAUGACCAUCAUAAUCAGGUUUAGAUGCACAGACUUUAGGAGCCCUCACGCAUGCCAAGUGUCAGGCUGACUGAUUGAAAAUAUUGCUAUGGACAUCUUUUGAUCUGCAUUACUGCUGACAAAAACUGUGCAUGUGUAGAAAGGUCAUGCUUCACUUCUCUGUAGAUACCAGACACCUCUACUACCUCAACAGAGCUACUCAUUGGAGUGGGUACUAAUUUUAAGUAUUUACAAGAUCAGGAUGUCAGUCUCAAACUAUAGAAAGAUAUGAAAAUCUACAUUAUGUGUUGCCUAUGGACUUUUGUGGAGUUUAGGAUCGUUUUUUGGGUGUUUUUUGCAUAUUUUAUUUAAAAAGCUAGAAUGCCAAUAGCAUGCUGCUGAAUGAACUUUCCUUUUUUUUUUAGUUACACAUACACAGCACUGUGAAUUGGUGAGUGAUACAUAAGGUGUAUCACUUAUAUAUCACUUGUAGAUCUGUUUCUCC